UACGGAGGAUCCAAGCGUUAUCCGGAGUGACUGGGCGUAAAGAGUUGCGUAGGUGGUUAGUAAAGUGAAUAGUGAAACCUGAAGGCUCAACCUUCAGACUAUUAUUCAAACUUACUAACUCGAGAAUGGUAGAGGUAACUGGAAUUUCUAGUGUAGGAGUGAAAUCCGUAGAUAUUAGAAGGAACACCAAUGGCGUAGGCAGGUUACUGGACCAUUUCUGACACUAAGGCACGAAAGCGUGGGGAGCGAACCGG
rnacentral:rRNA from 1 species